rnacentral:tRNA from 1 species
GGCCGUUAGCUCAGUUGGUUAGAGCGCCUGCUCGACACGCAGGAGGUCACAAGUUCGACUCUUGUACGGCCCACUCCA